GUUUGAUCAUGGCUCAGAUUGAACGCUGGCGGCAGGCUUAACACAUGCAAGUCGAGCGGUAACAGGGGGUGCUUGCACCCCGCUGACGAGCGGCGGACGGGUGAGUAAUGCAUAGGAAACUGCCCAGUAGUGGGGGAUAGCCCGGGGAAACCCGGAUUAAUACCGCGUACGCCCUUCGGGGGAAAGCAGGGGAUCUUCGGACCUUGCGCUAUUGGAUGUGCCUAUGUCGGAUUAGCUAGUUGGUGGGGUAAAGGCCUACCAAGGCGACGAUCCGUAGCUGGUCUGAGAGGAUGAUCAGCCACAUCGGGACUGAGACACGGCCCGAACUCCUACGGGAGGCAGCAGUGGGGAAUAUUGGA
rnacentral:rRNA from 1 species